AUAGCUGAAUUGUUGGCUAUACGGUUUUUAGAUGGCCCCGUUAAUCUUCUCUUAGUCGCCAAACUUGCUGAAGAUUAUCGGGGUUUUCACUU
rfam:Escherichia coli E110019 gcontig_1112495928550, whole genome shotgun sequence.